GGGCCCGGCUCCCGCCCUCUCCGGGGAAUCGUGAACCGGGGGUUCCGGCCGGGCCUACAGUUAUGAUGAACUUUUGCUUUGCUGAUGUGGUGAUGAGCACGCCCUUCGCUGAUACUCUCUCGUCCAU
rnacentral:snoRNA from 1 species